GCGGGAGUAGCUCAGUGGCUAGAGCGUCAGCCUUCCAAGCUGAGGGUCGCGGGUUCGAAUCCCGUUUCCCGCUCCA
rnacentral:tRNA from 37 species